CCUACGGGAGGCAGCAGUGAGGAAUAUUGGUCAAUGGACGAGAGUCUGAACCAGCCAAGUAGCGUGAAGGAUGACUGCCCUAUGGGUUGUAAACUUCUUUUAUAUGGGAAUAAAAUGUUCCACGUGUGGGAUUUUGUAUGUACCAUAUGAAUAAGGAUCGGCUAACUCCGUGCCAGCAGCCGCGGUAAUACGGAGGAUCCGAGCGUUAUCCGGAUUUAUUGGGUUUAAAGGGAGCGUAGGUGGAUUGUUAAGUCAGAUGUGAAAUCCCGCGGCUCAACCGCGGAACUGCAUUUGAAACUGUUUUUCUUGAGUACCGGAGAGGUCAUCGGAAUUCCUUGUGUAGCGGUGAAAUGCGUAGAUAUAAGGAAGAACACCAGUGGCGAAGGCGGAUGACUGGACGGCAACUGACGGUGAGGCGCGAAAGCGUGGGGAGCAAACAGGAUUAGAUACCCUAGUAGUC
rnacentral:rRNA from 1 species